rnacentral:rRNA from 1 species
GAUGAACGCUGGCGGCGUGCUUAACACAUGCAAGUCGAACGAUGAAGCCCAGCUUGCUGGGUGGAUUAGUGGCGAACGGGUGAGUAACACGUGAGUAACCUGCCCUUAACUCUGGGAUAAGCCUGGGCAACUGGGUCUAAUACCGGAUAGGAGCGUCCACCGCAUGGUGGGUGUUGGAAAGAUUUAUCGGUUUUGGAUGGACUCGAGGCCUAUCAGCGUGUUGGUGAGGUAAUGGCUAACCAAGGCGACGACGGGUAGCCGGCCUGAGAGGGUGACCGGCGACACGGGGACUGAGACACGGCCCAGAGGCCUACGGGAGACAGCAGUGGGGAAUAUUGUACAAUGGUCGCGAGCCUGAUGCAGCGACGCCGCGGUAGGGAUGACGGCCUGCUGGUUGUAAACCUCUUUCAGUAGGUAAGAAGCGAAAGUGACGGUACCUGCAGAAGAAGCACCGGCUAACUACGUG